AUAUUUUAUUGACAAGGUCAAUGCAUUUAUCACAUAUUAUUUUUGAUUGCAGAUGCUAGCCAUGUUCUUUGGUGCAACACCAUUUUUUAAGCAAUUGAUAUUUACAACUGACGCUCCACUUUACUUUUUUUACUGAUAGCUGCAACAUCCUUGGGGAGGCCAUGAUUCCAUGUAUUUUGUUGGCAUUAGGAGGAAAUCUUGUGGAUGUUGGUACAGGAGAUGCAGCAAGAGCAAGAUAAAGCUUCUUCACCUUUUUCUCCUGAUGACAGUAAGGAAUUCACAAAAAAAAUUACAGAUCAGACUAAGAUCAUAGGCUAUAGGGUGUUGAGAUGAACUGUAGAUGUUAAUUGGUGGUUGUAUGGUAAUUAAUUGAUAUUUUUGAGUUAUUUUAUUUUGUUUUUAGAGAAUAUUAGA